rnacentral:lncRNA from 1 species
CCUGCAGAGGUAGCUGGCGUUGGUGUUAGUGUUAUCCUUUCACCCUUGUCCUGGCUAAAAAGCCAUCUCGAAGGCGUCCCUUGUCCUGAGUCGUAUAAGCAUGAGAGUUUGGAGGGUCGGUGAGCACCCCGCACAGAUGCGCUCAGCCACACGGUGACACGCCAGCCGCGGCCCUAAUCGCACAUGCGCCGGCUGCACCACUAAUCUUUCCCCUUUCUGCAAUGUAGAGAGAUACGACGCCACGUUUGCCCGGGCAUAGGUUCCAAACGCAGCCGAUCCAGCGAUCAACUCUGUUACAGGUGGGGCCACUGGCGAUAAACAAAGCACUGAUGCACCAGUGGGCUGCAUUUCCUGGGAUUCCUAACACAACGCAGGAAAGAGAUAAUAAAUGUAACAAAUAGAAGAAAAAUGCAUUGCCAAUGAUAAUCUAGAUACCAUCGAGCAUGCCUGACUGGUAAACAAAUGCUGCAAUCAUCAACAAAUAAAUAAAGGUAUAUUCUGUAAAGUAUGGAUGGCCUGAACUAAUUUUUCACACUUUAAAGAAGUAAAGAGAAAUUUCGUAAACCAGCAAGUAAGAGCAAACUGGACUUACAAAUAAACCAUCUUCAUUCCUUUGCACAAUAUGUUGCACUUAUCAUCUGCAAUAUUGUAAACAUACCUGAACGUUAAUAGCAACGCAAUGGAAAAUUACAUUUACUCUUUAUCACUAUCAGGAAGAUAAAUUCGCCAUACCGAGACCUCCAGCUCAUAGGCGGCAAGGGAACUAUAGACACCAAUCCACCGGCGUCGUUUGCAGUCUCAUUGUAAUAUUCUCCUUAGGUUACUAAUAACCUUCCGCAAGUGAGCCCUCUCUUCUAGCCAACUUCGCAUAUGAACUGGCCAUAGUAACCAACCAAGGCAUUAGGUGGCUGAACCAAUUCACAGGCACAAAAUGGAUGACUAUUUGGAAUGAUGGUAAUUGUGGAUUAGAGUAUACCAAGCAAGUUGCCAAUUAGAAAUCAGUUCGUAGUGUGAUAUCAUUUCAUUCAAAUCUGUUCUCUUUAAGGUAGGAGCUAAAUUACCAAUAACUUGUGGAAGUAAAGUUGAGAAGUGUAUUAAAAGUCUAACCUGUAGUAAAGUACCUCUGUGGUCGCAGAUGUCCAACCCCAUCCCGAUCCAGCACCAUCCCUAUCAGGGAUCGCUCGCGCCAG